UAGCGAAGGGGGCUAGCGUUGUUCGGAAUUACUGGGACGUAAAGCGCACGUAGGCGGUUCGUUAUGUCGGAUGUGAAAGCCCUUGGCUUAACCGAGGAAGUGCAUCCGAAACUGGCGAGCUAGAGUACGAAAGAGGAAUCGCGGAAUUCCCGGUGUAGAGGUGAAAUUCGUAGAUAGUCGGGAGGAACACCGGUGGCGAAGGCGGCGAUCUGGUGCGAUACUGACGCUGAGG
rnacentral:rRNA from 1 species